rnacentral:rRNA from 1 species
AUGAACGCUAGCUACAGGCUUAACACAUGCAAGUCGAGGGGCAGCAUGGUCUUAGCUUGCUAAGGCCGAUGGCGACCGGCGCACGGGUGAGUAACACGUAUCCAACCUGCCGUCUACUCUUGGACAGCCUUCUGAAAGGAAGAUUAAUACAAGAUGGCAUCAUGAGUCCGCAUGUUCACAUGAUUAAAGGUAUUCCGGUAGACGAUGGGGAUGCGUUCCAUUAGAUAGUAGGCGGGGUAACGGCCCACCUAGUCUUCGAUGGAUAGGGGUUCUGAGAGGAAGGUCCCCCACAUUGGAACUGAGACACGGUCCAAACUCCUACGGGAGGCAGCAGUGAGGAAUAUUGGUCAAUGGGCGAGAGCCUGAACCAGCCAAGUAGCGUGAAGGAUGACUGCCCUAUGGGUUGUAAACUUCUUUUAUAAAGGAAUAAAGUCGGGUAUGUAUACCCGUUUGCAUGUACUUUAUGAAUAAGGAUCGGCUAACUCCGUGCCAGCAGCCGCGGUAAUACGGAGGAUCCGAGCGUUAUCCGGAUUUAUUGGGUUUAAAGGGAGCGUAGAUGGAUGUUUAAGUCAGUUGUGAAAGUUUGCGGCUCAACCGUAAAAUUGCAGUUGAUACUGGAUAUCUUGAGUGCAGUUGAGGCAGGCGGAAUUCGUGGUGUAGCGGUGAAAUGCUUAGAUAUCACGAAGAACUCCGAUUGCGAAGGCAGCCUGCUAAGCUGCAACUGACAUUGAGGCUCGAAAGUGUGGGUAUCAAACAGGAUUAGAUACCCUGGUAGUCCACACGGUAAACGAUGAAUACUCGCUGUUUGCGAUAUACUGCAAGCGGCCAAGCGAAAGCGUUAAGUAUUCCACCUGGGGAGUACGCCGGCAACGGUGAAACUCAAAGGAAUUGACGGGGGCCCGCACAAGCGGUGGAGUAUGUGGUUUAAUUCGACGCAACGCGAAGAACCUUACCAGGUCUUGACAUUGAUCGCGAUCUGCAGAAAUGCGGAGUUCUUCUUCGGAAGACGAGAAAACAGGUGGUGCACGGCUGUCGUCAGCUCGUGUCGUGAGAUGUUGGGUUAAGUCCCGCAACGAGCGCAACCCUUACUGUCAGUUACUACGCAAGAGGACUCUGGCAGGACUGCCGUUGACAAAACGGAGGAAGGUGGGGAUGACGUCAAAUCAGCACGGCCCUUACGUCCGGGGCUACACACGUGUUACAAUGGGGGGUACAGAGGGCCGCUACCACGCGAGUGGAUGCCAAUCCCCAAAACCUCUCUCAGUUCGGACUGGAGUCUGCAACCCGACUCCACGAAGCUGGAUUCGCUAGUAAUCGCGCAUCAGCCACGGCGCGGUGAAUACGUUCCCGGGCCUUGUACACACCGCCCGUCAAGCCAUGGGAGCCGGGGGUACCUGAAGUGCGUAACCGCGAGGAGCGCCCUAGGGUAAAACUGGUGACUGGGGCU